GAGUACCCAGAAGGAUCCAUCCCUUGGUCCUUGUGUAGCUGUCCCUGCAGGAGAAUCAACAUGAGAGGAGAUGCAGGUGCCUGCAGUUGCAUUUUCAGAAUAAAAGAUAAUUGACCACCAGAACAGUUCUUGUCUUCUAAGAUGGUCAUUCCCAGCUGCUCCAGUGCUGUAGCACAUGGGACACUGUUCAAGACACCUGAGGUCCACAUGCUGCAUCAUGGUCUGGAGACAAGAUUUGUACACACCACACCAUAAUACGCCAUUUCCCAAUCAUCAUACCAGCAAUGUGUGAACCUGUCUGGUACAAGAACUGUCUGCAUAUUGUGCUCAUGCCUAAUGUUCAGCUGAAGAAAGGUGCUGAAUAAUCUGUACAUUCAAAGAAAAUGCCGCAAGAAGUAAAGAAAAUGUGAAGCAAGAAAACCCACAGUGUUAUUGCCUUAGGCACUGUGGAAUGGGUUGGAUAGAAAACAAAAGAAGAUGGUCUGACAUCCAAACAGCUGAAGAUGAGACAGGUGCCAGGAGGGUUGAAGGCAGAAGCUGGGAAUUGUGGGGCUGCAAAGAGGCAGAAGUGGAAGGACAAGGUCAAGACAAAGGGUUUUGCCACGAGGCCCCUGACACAAAGAAGGAACACCGGUUUCUUUGGG